rnacentral:rRNA from 1 species
GGGUAAUUUUCCGCAAUGGGCGAAAGCCUGACGGAGCAAUACCGCGUGAGGGACGAAGGCUUUUGGGUCGUAAACCUCUUUUCCCUGAGAAGAAGAUCUGACGGUAUCAGGGGAAUAAGCAUCGGCUAACUUCGUGCCAGCAGCCGCGGUAAUACGAGGGAUGCAAGCGUUAUCCGGAAUUAUUGGGCGUAAAGCGUCCGCAGGUGGCUCUGUAAGUCUGCCGUUAAAGAAUGGGGCUCAACCCCAUACAGGCGAUGGAAACUACAAGGCUAGAGUUUGGUAGGGGUCACGGGAAUUCCUAGUGUAGCGGUGAAAUGCGUAGAUAUUAGGAAGAACACCAGCGGCGAAAGCGCGUGACUGGGCCAGUACUGACACUCAUGGACGAAAGCUAGGGGAGCGAAAGGGAUUAGAUACCCCUGUAGUCCUAGCCGUAAACGAUGAUAACUAGGUGUUGCCCGUAUCGACCCGGGCAGUGCCGUAGCCAACGCGUUAAGUUAUCC